UAUGAAGUUAUGAGUUUAAAUGUAUUUUCUUCAUCUUGUUCAUUAGCUUCUUCCAUCGUUCAUAUUUCAAUACGCAUAAUAAUGGAAAUAGACCCAACACGAGGAGUUCAAUCACGCAAAAGAAAACCUUUCUCCGAUUUAACUAACACCUUCCAUUCCCAUUCUUCUUCCUCUCUUCCCUUAAAACCCAACACAUUACCUUCUCCGAUUCUUUCUACACCUUCCCUCAAAUCCUCGUCUCUUCACGGGACUAGUGAUGUUGAAGCUUCUGUGCCUAUUUCAAUAAAUGAUAAUCAAAGAAAGGAUAAGGGAAAUGCAGUAGCAUUUUCUUAUAGUUGGGAGAAAAGUGGCAGGGUUGAUGGUGCAAAUGUACCUAAGACCAAGGCAUUGAAAGUUCCUUUACGAAAGAAGCGUCGUUCUGUCUCGUCUAAACAAGAUGUGUUAAAGGAUCCGGGGCUGCAAGAUUUUAUAAAAAAACAGAGAGCCUACUAUAAAGCAAUUGAUGAAUUUGAACUGUCAGAGGAGGAGGUUGAAUCUGGUGAUGAGCUAGAUUAACCAGAAGAGGUGUUGUAAUACGUGUAUAAACUAGAAGCUUUGAAACUUUUCUUUAGGUUUGUUAUAAUCUUGUAUAAUGAUAGUGCUAAUCUUGUAUAAUGUAAAUAGGUAACUUUGUACCAAAAUUUUCUAAGAGAGUAAACAUGGAGUUGGUAUAGUG
rnacentral:lncRNA from 1 species